rnacentral:rRNA from 1 species
AAUGAACGCUGGCGGCGUGCCUAAAACAUGCAAGUCGUGCGGCAGCAUGCCCUUCGGGGUGAUGGCGAGCGGCGGACGGCUGAGUAACGCGUGGGAAUUGCCCCGAAGUGAGGGAUAACUGCCCGAAAGGGUAGCUAAUACCGCAUCUGGUCUACGGAUUAAAGCAUUUAUGCGCUUUGGGAGAAGCCCGCGUCUGAUUAGCUAGUUGGUGAGGUAAUAGCUCACCAAGGCGAUGAUCAGUGGCUGGUUUGAGAGGAUGAUCAGCCAGACUGGAACUGAGAAACGGUCCAGACUCCUACGGGAGGCAGCAGUUAGGAAUAUUCCACAAUGGGGGCAACCCUGAUGGAGCAACGCCGCGUGGAGGAUGAAGGCCUUCGGGUCGUAAACUUCUUUUCUCUGUGAAGAAUAUGACUGUAGCAGAGGAAUAAGGGUCUGCUAACUACGUGCCAGCAGCCGCCGUAA